rnacentral:rRNA from 1 species
GGGUGAGGAACACGUGAGGAACCUGCCCCGAACUUUGGGAUAACAGUUGGAAACGACUGCUAAUACCGAAUGCCGUUACGAAGUGGCAUCACUUUGUAACGAAAGAAUUUCGGUUCGGGAGGGCCUCGCGGCCUAUCAGCUAGUUGGUGGGGUAAUGGCCUACCAAGGCAUCGACGGGUAGCUGGUCUGAGAGGAUGAUCAGCCACACUGGGACUGAGACACGGCCCAGACUCCUACGGGAGGCAGCAGUGGGGAAUCUUGUGCAAUGGGCGAAAGCCUGACACAGCCACGCCGCGUGCGGGAAGAAGGCCUUCGGGUUGUAAACCGCUUUCAGCAGGAACGGAAAUGACGGUACCUGCAGAAGAAGAUGCGGCCAACUACGUGCCAGCAGCCGCGGUGAUACGUAGGCAUCAAGCGUUGUCCGGAUUUAUUGGGCGUAAAGAGCUCGUAGGCGGUUCAGCAAGUCGGGUGUGAAAACUCUGGGCUUAACCCAGAGCCUGCACUCGAAACUGCUGUGACUAGAGUUCGGUAGGGGAGCAGGGAAUUCCUAGUGUAGCGGUGAAANUGCGCAGAUAUUAGGAGGAACACCAAUGGCGAAGGCACUGCUCUGGGCCGAUACUGACGCUGAGGAGCGAGAGCGUGGGUAGCAAACAGGAUUAGAUACCCUGGUAGUCCACGCCGUAAACGAUGGGCACUAGGUGUGGGUCUCUAACCAA